rnacentral:rRNA from 1 species
UACGGGGGGGGCAAGCGUUGUUCGGAAUUACUGGGCGUAAAGGGCGCGUAGGCGGCCUUCUAAGUCGGACGUGAAAUCCCUCGGCUUAACCGAGGAACUGCGUCCGAUACUGAAAGGCUUGAAUCCGGGAGAGGGAUGUGGAAUUCCAGGUGUAGCGGUGAAAUGCGUAGAUAUCUGGAGGAACACCGGUGGCGAAGGCGGCAUCCUGGACCGGUAUUGACGCUGAACGGCGAAAGCUAGGGGAGCAAACGGG